AUCUGGGUUUUCUAUUACUUGCGGCUAAUGCAUCCUAAUCAACAGUCCAAGAACUGGACUGGAAUUCUUACAUUAGCUGAGGAGAGCUUAGAGCUAAUAAGAUUUGAGUAUUAACAAGCUGUAACUGGUAUCCUCACAGACUGGUGGCACCAGUACAGUGGGGUCAUUCAUGCUUCUAUACGUGUCAGGUGCGACUCUUACUGUACAGCCCAGCUGAGCUAGGAAUAUUGUACUCCUCUGCUUUUUUCCCUUUAAUCAAAGUAAAUCUGACUCUGAACUCCCAAUCCUAUUCAGUGGGCAGAUUAUUAAUCGGUCAUUGUGGGAGCUCAACCCCUUGAAAAAUUGUGCCUAAUUGGGCAAAAGUGUAGAGGCAUCUCACUCACUCAUCGGCCGAUAGUCCACACUUUGGUGCCUCAGGUCUCAUCCAAUUUGGUGAUUUUAGUGUUUCUGAGUCAUACUUUAGGGCCCAGGGAUCUUUGUUGAGGCUGGAAACCCAAUGCCUAAGGCCUUGCAUCCCCUGAGAUCUGGCCCUUACCCAAGACUCUGAUGGACUCUGUUCUCAUAAUCAGAGUUGUUUUCUAUCUCUCUGGUCUUUGAGCACACUGCUUUCUCUUUCCUUGCCCUUCAAAGCCCUCCUUCGUCCACCCCCUUCUCCCUCAGGGUGUCUGCAUCAUCCCAUAAAUGAGCCAGGGCUUUUUAGCAAAGACAAGAAGAUCUAUUAGCUUUAAGCAGCUUCUGUUUUCAGUCCUGUAAGAAUUCCUAAGGCAAGAAAAAACAAAAAGCCUGACUAGAGUGCCUGCUUGUAAAGAGAAGGCAGUGGAAAAAUACAGCAAAUUUAUUAAUAUGGCAAUUAUCUUGUCACAGGUAUCUCAGAGGUGACAGGGGAGAACUCAGCCCAAUAGAGGGCUGGCUCCAUGCUGAGUGGCAGCCAGCCAACCAAUGGGAGUGGGACAAAGAGAAAGAAGGUGGAUCCUGAGCACCGCUGGGGAAACUUUCCUGGUAACUUGCAAAACCUGCCUCACAGUGUGGAAUUGAAACCCUGGCAACCAGUUGCCUCUUCCCAGUUGCCACUUUUCUACCUUGUCCCUGGGUGUUCUUGAAAAUACAUUUUCAUUCCCAAAGCAUUCUCUCUGUCUCUGCCUUGUGAUCACACAUGGAGCUACAAUAAAUGCUCACCUACGAGGGAGUGGGAAGGAUCAAAUGUGAUAAUGUACAAGAAAGGUCUUAGAAUUGUUCAACAGGUAAGGAGGCGCCGGCAUCUCACCCAGGCUGGAGCCACUCCUGGUCUUCCCCAGCCUCCUUUGUGAAGGUCACCUUUCUUAUGGCCCUGGUGGUCCCCAUCAGCAGGUAUCUUCCAUGGCCCUCCAGGUGGCUGUGAGACUCCUGGGCUUCUGGACUUGCCCCCAGGUAAACAAGGGCAGCAGAAGUACAUGCUGGAUUUAGACAGUAUUUUCCCACCUAGCUGAAAGAACCUUUGAGACCAUUAAGGGCAACUCCUUAAUUUUACAGAUAGGACUCCUGAGGUUAGAAGGCCAGGGGACUUGGCUAAAGUCAGGUGAAGACAUAAAGGGACAACAUUAGGGUGUGAGCUCUUUGUUCCCAGCCUUCCCUUGUCAUCCUAAUCUCCCAAUACGGUUUUUGCCUCUUGAUCCUGACUGUCCCCUCUGGUGCCUUUGAAUGAUUGACCUACACUAUCUUGUGGCUGCCUUUGAGGGCAGCACACCUCCUUCAGAAGGCUCUCUCCAGGCUUUGGGGCUGCAAGAUGAUUAAUACAAGGAGAAGAAAGGUAUGCAGAGCCCACGGGACUUGGGCUGCGUCCUUGCUCCUUCUCACUGUCAUCCUCAGAGCAUUUUUGGAAAGAAAUGGAAUUAUGGAUUACUCAGAAGAUAGCUCUGGGCAUUUCUCAGUUUACAGGUAUCUUCUGGGCAUACUCAUUGGUGACUUUCGGACCAGAAGCAUUUCAGCCUGAAGAUGACCUUCAAUCAAACCAUGGAGCCAACAAGUCUGGGGUUUCUUGACUCCUAUUGACUUGAUUGGUCUAACAAACACCUCAGGGAAUUCUGAUUCAGGUGGGCACCUUCCUGCUGUGUCCUCACAUGGUCUUCUUCUGAGUUUAUUUUCAUAGGUGGGAAGUCCUCAAAGGAUUUUCAAUAUUAUCAGAAGCUACUGAUGACAUGGAAACAGGUGUAAUGGCUGAACGUGGCUGGAAGUAAUAACCUUGGUCAAGGGGAACAGGGUAGGUGAAGGUCAAACUGUUCCAUCUGAAGCAUGUAUUGAGUACUUUGUCUUGUGCUCUAUCACCCAUUCCUUCAUUCUUUCCUGAAUCUAUUAGUCUUUGCCAGGCAUCUAGAAUGGGCUGGGCAACUGCAGAUACACAGGUGAGUGGUGUUAUCAAGUCCCUGCUUUUGUGAGUUUACAGAUUAGCUAUGUUAACUAUUAAAAAAUGAUUCAAACAAACACAGCCCUUACCUUUACAAACAGAAAGGAUCCGGCAGGGAUUAGGAAAUCACUUCUGGAGCCAGACUACGCCUGCAAGAUCUGUGUAGGCAAAAAUGGGUGCCCACUCCUGAUUCUCUGUACCCAGGAAACUGGUGAUGGGGUACUGGUCCAGUACCUCCAACCAUGUUUGCCAGGAAACAGCAGACAAAGUGGACCAUAGUCUCAUCUCACAUCUCAAGAGGGUGCUUCUGUUGUGCAUUUUUCCAUAUGGGAGGAGCUCUGUUAGUGCAACACUCCUGCCCUCCCUGCAUCCCUUCACAUUCUCCUUCCCAGGGGAGGUGGAAUGACAGAGCCGAUUGGCAAGUUGGAAGAAGAAACUUGACAUGCAUUCAAGAGUCCCCACCUCUUCUCUUUCUUUUGGGAGUAAGUUGCCCCCUGGGAAUGUGUCUUCUGCUCGGCAUUUCUAGGGACAAGGUUUCCCCUGCCAGGGAGGAAUGUGGUUUCCCAGUGUGGCCUGAGCCUGGCUUGGUAAAUUGGUCUGAUGUUGGAGUUCAGUGUUAGGAAGCUUACUUGCCUACAGUAACACUUGCUAAUACAGAUUUAUAGGAAAUAAAGGUAAUGGUUUGAAUUUGA